UAAUAUGUAUAUAUCAUUGUUGUUUUGGUUGUAAUUGUGUAUAUACAUAGCUAAUAUAUACUUUUGUUGAAUGAUGAUGAAUAUAAAUCGAUGAGGUGUUGCAUAAGAUUGGUUUAUUUUCUUAAAGUACCCCUGGGCCAUAAAAUGAAUUCCGUUUUCUAUAAGAUGCCGAUUUUAGUAUGCAGAGCUAUCGGCAACGCUGCAGUUGGAAGUUCUUUUGCCGUCCCAGACUCCCAGUACCACUACCACUACCACUACCUACGCAGCCUGAGUUAGGUUUGGUUUACUAAAAUUCAAGAAAUGAUUGUGAAUAUGAGGAAUUUAUUACAAGCAUAUCGAUAUUUGAUCAGGAUACUUUAAAAAUCAAGACAUUUCAAAAGAAAAAUAUUUGAAUACACUGUGACUGCCUCUUGCUCGCCAGCUCCUUAUCCUGUGAUCCCAAACCUACGGCGCUGAAUGGCCUUCUUGGCCCCAGUGCCUGGGCUUUAGCCCUAAAUAUCAUACAUCCAAAGAUGAAUGACACCACCAGCACCAGUCCAUCCAGUGACAACACGCAACAGCAGCAAGCAUGCCAUCAGCCUGCCACCCUUCACAUCCCACAACCCAGAGGCCUGGUUCUUCAGAGCGGAGACUAUCUUAGGGUUCUUCUCCACAAACUGCGCAGACAAUGCCAUUCUCAAGUUCCAGCCAGACAAAAUCUUUGAACAAAUCGCAAAAUGGGUUGCUGACCAAAAGACUGCCUUCACCUACGAAGCGCUGAAGGACCAAGGUUAUCAUUCAGCAUGCUGCCUGCCCUUACCCCAGAGACAAUGUUGGAACUUGUGAGAAGUCCUAGUCACAAAAUUACCCACCAAAAAUUUGCAGCCAUCCCCAACACACCAACCAUGGACCUCAACAAGUACCUGAAGACAGUCGACACUGUCCACCUGGCCCACAAGUCAACAGAGCCUACACAACCACCUGUAGCAACAGCUGCCCAGUCACAACAGCAACAGCGACCGACACAGAGCGUCAAUCCAGAGGCCCCGCUGCUCCCGUACACUACUACCAAGAGCUUCAGGUGGAAAAACAAACCCAAGCCCAAAACAGAAGAACAUCCUAAAGGCAUUUGUUUCUAGCACAGAAGGUAUGGGAAUGAAGCCUGAACCCAACAAACUGAACAUUAUCUGUGGGCAGACUGGUUGCCUCAUAAGAGAAACCGCGCCUGCUUUCCGCUGUCUUUCGGAAUUCCAUGUACCAGCAAAAACUACAUGUUUUGUCAUCAUGGAUGUAUGUAAGCACGCUCCACUAACUCCAGCACCAGAUAAAAGCACGACAAAGUCUCUGAAGGUCCCCCAAUGCACACCCAUUUCAGACAUAAAGCCCCGAAAAACCUUCCCUACGCCAAACGCUUUUCAGGACAUGGGUUGAGCAGGAAUAUGCCAAAAAGCCUCUAGCCCUUGGCCAUGUCCCCACCACAUUGUAUCAAACCAUGACAGCACAUGGCAACCCUAAAGCAAAUAUUAUUAAAGGAGUGCACCAAAAUAUUUACAACGAUGACCUACAGAAAGGACACUUGCCAAGUCCCAGUUGCAGAGGAGACACAAAAAAUUCCCAUAUUCAACCCUUUCGGCUGCAGCCUGUGGUUGUGCGUGUGUCGUCUAUGUCGACAUCAUACUCACAUUCAGCCCCAACAUCAAACAACACAAGUAGAGUCCUGCAAAUACUACAAACUCAAAGAAAAUGGCCCUUUAGUCCAAAAGGACAAACAUGAAUGGCCAAAACCAGUAGUGGGAUUCCUGUGCAACCAAAUGAGCUCCAAAGGGGUCAAACCCCUCCCGGCCUAAGUUCAAGCAAUCAUCAACUUUCCAAAGCCCCUGACAAUCAAAGCAGUCCAAGAAUUCAUGGGAAUGAUUUAACUAUGACCACAGUUCCAUACCCAAUGUUGUUGAAAUGACUCCAAUUGAUUGAUUGAAAAGAAAACCCUAAAAAAUUAUUGGUAUAAAACAACAAAAUAAGCCUUCACGCUAGCCAAAACAGCAGUCACCUCUGCUGCCACUCAUUUUUCCUUUACCCCAGAAAAGAUGGUCAUAUUUGAGUACCACAUCGAUGGGCACGAUACUCUUAAAAAGACACAGACGAUGGUCGUCACCCAUUGGCAUUUUUUAGUAAGAAGUUAUUGGCAGCAGAACAAAAUUUCUACAUGUUUAACCAAUAGUUACUGGCAGUUUACAGAGCCAUCUGCCACUUCUGACACAUGCUAGGAUAACUACAAUUUGGGGUGCAGACAAACCACCAACCACUGGUACAAGCCUUCACUAGAGUGGAGAUGGGUGUUCAGCAAGACCAUCAGAUACUGAAAAGGUGCUUCCAACAACAUGGCAGAUGCCUUUUCCCUCAACACCAUCCAGAUCAGAAUAUCAUAUCCAAAAUAGCAUCAGCUCACAUGGUCCUACAGUGACUUGGUUGGGAGAACCCUUCCCUUACGUGGAGUGAUCUAUCCAUCAAUGACAGACAGAACUAUUGCCUGCGAGAAGAGUACCAGACCUCUACCCCAUACCUACCUACUGUUAGGGUUGAGAAAGAAAGCCCUCUACUUCACCCAUCAGACGGAUCAACUGCCCGAACCCUGUCAGAGCAGUACAUCUGGUGGGGAAUGAAGGCAGACAUCAAAAUGUGGGCAAGAGAAUACCUCCCCAUGCCAAACAUCAAGAGUAAUGAGGCACACAAAUGGGGACAUGAGAGUUCCAGAAAACACAACAAGGACUGAUCCACAUCGUGGGACCCCCAGCCCCUUCAAGGGGUACAGGUAUAUUUUCACAAUCACUGGAAUACCAGAUGGCCAGAAGCAAUACAGGUAAGGCAGCAGAGCUGUGAAAGUGCACUAUGUAAUAGGCUGGGUCAUCAGGCAUGGUGAACAACAGUACAUAAUUAGCAACAGAGGAGCAAACUUCACCUCUGCCUGAUGGAGCUCCCUCGCCACCCACCAGCCUCCAGGAAAAAAAUCAUUCGUACAACGGCAUGCAACCCAGAAGCAAACUGCAUGGUGGAGCAGCUGCACCACUCCCUCAAAUCAGCACUUACUGCCAGUUAACAAGGCAGAAGUUAGAGAAAGGAACAGCCCAACAAAGUAUUCAACACAUCGCUGGUAGCACUACAGACAAGAGUUGGAUAUGACGGCAAAUGGUUUUCAAAACCCGAUUCUUCCAAACAUCCAUAGAGCACUGGGAAACCUAAUGCCAAGGGAAUAAAAUCUUCCGGUGAAGAAGCUACAAUGAAAUGAGAAUUUGGUAAAGAGGAGCCAGAACAAGAAGGAAUGGGAGUGCUCGCCACCAUUAGGGAAACAAAGCCUUCCCAAGAUGACGUCACUAAUUUCCUUUUGCAUCUCUUCUACCAAAAUUCCUCCACUGCUCAGACCAAACACAACCUGAACAUGGGUUACUUACACACAGUCAUUAGGUCUACACUUGCCUAAUAUGAAAUGGAGCAAAUAUUCCGAGAAUGGGACGUACGCAUUUCGGAGAUUUGUGGCAGAGAAUCCGCGCACGGAGGGAAGGAAAGAUUUUUUUAAAAAUUCACCAUAAAUCUAAAUAUUUU